GCACAUUGCCUGUUAAAGCUAUUGGGUCUUGGAUGAGAAAUUGAACUGUUGCACCAACUAGUACUGCCGCUUGGUCCUUGGUAGGCCUUUCCAAACAACUGACCUGGCUCCUUUAAAGGUUGAAGCCGACCAAGUCGUAAAACAACAGCACGUUCAUAUUCUUGAAUCACCUAACAGAAUAUUUGGACUGAGUGGCAUCACAGUAUUGAAUAAACUUGUUUCCCCGAGGGCCCAUGACAAGCAUGCGCAACGUUUAGGGUCACCACCACCAUUAAAUCUUUUAAG